CGGCGUUCGGUGUGAGGCUGCGCCCUGGGCUCCUGAAAAUCCAGGGCUGCAGUCAUUUGAAGGCUUGACUGGGGCUGGAGGAUUUUCAUCCAAGAUGGCUCACUCACCCAGCUGUUGGCAGGAGACCUCGGUUCUUUGACUUCUCCGUAAGACUGUUGAGAAGACAGCCAUCUGCAUGUCAAGAAGAGGACCUCACCAGAAACUGAGUUGGCUGAAACUUUGAUCUUGAACUUCCCAGCCUCAAGACCUGUGAGAAAUCAAUUUCUGUCAUUUAAACCACCCAGCAUAUGGUAUUUUACAAUGGCAGUGUGAGCAGAUAGAGGAGUUUGCUCUAGAAGUGAGCUCAGGAUUGCAAGGUUUGAGAAUUCCUAGAACCAACAUUAUUUCUGCAUGUGAUGACCUUCCC
rnacentral:lncRNA from 1 species